rnacentral:rRNA from 1 species
GAUGAACGCUGGCGGCGUGCCUAACACAUGCAAGUCGAGCGAAAGGACGAGAAGCUUUCUUCGCUGAUGUUAGCGGCGGGCGGGUGAGUAACACGUGGAUACCCUACCUCUAUGACUGAGAUAACUUCGGGAAACCGGAUCUAAUACCGUAUAAUAUUUUGUACGGCAUGAUUCAAGAGAGAUUGACGGUUUUGGUGUUACUUAUAGGCGGAUCCGCGUUGGAUUAGCUAGUUGGUAAGGUAACGGCUUACCAAGGCGACGAUGCGUAGCUGGUCUGAGAGGGUGAUCAGCCACACUGGAACUGAGACACGGUCCAGACUCCUACGGGAGGCAGCAGUGGGGAAUAUUGCACAAAGGGCGAAAGCCUGACGCAGCAACGCCGCGUGAGUGAUGAAGGUCUUCGGAUUGUAAAACUCUGUUAGUAGGGAAGAACAUAUGUGUAUGUAACAGUGGAUGUUUUGACGGUACCUAAAGAAAAAGCACCGGCUAACUACGUG